GGGCUCGUUUGAGCCCCGCCGCUCCGCGGCCCCAGCAAAGUGCCGACAUUACGCACGCCGCUCCAGGCCACCCCACCGGCCCGCGCCUGCGCAUGCGCCCGCGCCGCCUGCCGGGAGUUGUGGUUUCAUGGUCGACGGAGGCUGCGAAGGGAAACCCCAGCCGGAAGUAGACUCCCAGGAUGCAGCGGAGGCGCGAAGGCAUGCGCCGGUGGACGCUCUGAUUGGUUCCUCCUGCUGUUUUUAAAGGGAGGGGGCGGGACAGAGCUGUUGCCGUGGCAACUGGGAGGCACUCUCAGGCUGUUUUCCCGAGGACCUCAAAUCCGGACUUUUUUUCUGUUUUUCUUUCUUUUUUGGUUUUGUUUUGGACGCGUUGUGGCCCAGGCUGGAGUGCAGUGGCGUGAUCAUAGCUCAGUGCAGCUUCGAACUGCUGGGGCAUACUCAUCUAAUAACGAGGACAGCAUCUGCAAUUUAGAGAUUCCUGUCCGCAACCUUCAUUGCUCCAACGACAACUUUUGGGUAAGAGUCAUUAGGAUGCCGUCUAUCAUGGAGGAAGCUGAGGCUCAGAGAGGGCCACCAAGUUGCUGGAAGACACAGCACGUGCGACCUCAGGGAGGCUGCAAGGAGAGAAAGCCCCAGUCCGCGAGACUCCCAGCCUCCAGCUUCAGUUUACCCUCCAAUCCCCAAGCCCUCAGGGGCAGGAGCCGAAUGGAGCGGCAGGCUUGGAUUCACCUGCUAAGUGGGGUGAGGUCAAGGGAAUGAAAUAAACCUCGGAGCCUAGAGCCUGCCCUGGUCUCCGCGUGAUCCUGCCUAGGAGGAGCAGGGCGGGAGCUUUAGAAUGGAACCUGGAAGGUGUGCCCACCUGUGUCGUUCAGCCGGGGCAGCAGGCCAGAGGCGGGAGCGCCUGCUGUGGGGCAGUAGGCUUGGGAAGGGUGAGAAUAGGAAUAUCUGGGGGUAACUGUGUUCCAGGCUAAUAUCCCAGUUGCAAAGGGGAGCUGGUUUGGUGGCUCAGGCCUGUCAUCCCAGCACUUUGGGAGGCUGAGGCGGGCGGAUCACCUAAGGUCAGAGUUCGAGACCAGCUUGGCAAAUACGCAAGCAUGCCUGGCAACAUGGCAAAACCCCGUCUCUAGUAAAAAUACAAAAAUUAUCCGGGGGUGGUGGCGGGCACCUGUAAUCCCAGCUACUCGGGAGGCUGAGGCAGGAGAAUCGCUUGAACCCGGGAGGCGGAGGUUGCAGUGAGCCAAGAUCUCGCCACUGCACUCCAGCCUGGGUGACAGAGCGAGAACCUGUCUCAAAAAAAAAAAAGUGCAAAGGGAGGUCAGUUCAGUGCCUCAGGCCUGUAAUCCCAGCACUUUGGGAGGCUGCGGCGGGAGGAUCGCUUGAGCCCAGGAGUUCCAGACAAGCCUUGGGCAACCGAGAUACUGAGACCCAGUCUCCACCAAAGGAAAAAAAGAAAUUAGCCAGGCAUGGUGGUGCACACCUGUGGUCCCAGAUACUCGGGAGGCUGAGGCAGGAGGACUGCUUGAGCCCAGGAGGUUUAGACUGCAGUGAGCUGAGAUGGCGCCACUGUACUCCAGCCUGGGUUGACAGAACAGGACCCUGUCUCAAAACAAAACAAGUGCAAAGGCCCUGAGGCAGGAACAAGCGUGGACAGAGGAGCAAUUUGAGCAGAGUGGGGCUGGGGAGAGGGAGCAAAGAUGUAGCUGGGGCUCAGUUAGGGGGCCUGACCACACGGGGGCUCGGGGGCCUCAGCUCAAGCUAUCCUCCAUCCCCAAACCCUGGCACUUCAGUUUCCCCAUCAGCCCAGAACGAGGACUCGACCUCACUCUGGAAGGGCCUGGCAGCCUCCUUACAGCACAUUCCAGACGCUGCUGCCGACGCCUGCGUGAGCGCACUGAUGCCACCGGCUGGGAAUGUUUUCGACAGACGGCAGCACCCUCCCUCACCUGCCUCAGUCCACCUCAGGGUGCCCCAGCGGGCUGUGACCUCAGACCUCACCCACUACUGGGGUCACCUGCCUGGCCCUGAAUCAGCCAGGCCUGGUGUGCCAAGACCUACAGACACCCCCUGCACCCCUGCAGGCUGGCAGAGCCAGAAACUUGGGUGGAAACCGACUUCUGAACUAUUUCACCAUUCCUUAUGCGUUAGUCUUUUCUUUUAUUUGAUGAGAUCCCAGCACUUUGGGAGGCCGAGGCGGGCGGAUCACGUGAGGUCAGGAGUUUGAGACCAGCCUGGCCAACAUGGUGAAACCCCGUCUCUACUAAAAAUACGAAAAUUAGCCGGGCAUGGUGGCCUGUGCCUGUAAUCCCAGCUACUCAGGAGGCCAAGGGAGGAAAAUCACUUGAACCUGAGAGGUGGAGGUUACAGUGAGCCAAGAUCGCACCACUGCACUCCAGCCUUGGGCAAUGUAGCCAAACCCCAUCACUACAAAUAAUACAAAAAAAUUUUGUUGGCUGUGAUGGUGCCUGCCUGUGGCCCCAUCUACUUGGGAGGCUGAGGUGGGAAGAUGUAGAAUUGCUUGAGCCAGGAGGCAGAGGCUGCAGUGAGCUGUGAUUGAGCCACUGCACUCCAGCCUGGGCGACAGAGCGAGACCCUGUCUCAAAAAAAAAAGAACAUAAUCUGGGUUUUGGAAUAAGACAGCAGUUUCUGAAACAGCUCAUUGCCCAAAUUCCAGCCUCGCAACUCUGUAGCCGCCACCACCCCCCAGCCCCACCAUUUAUUUUAACUACAUCUGUCUCCACCACUCCUGUAUUAAGUAAAUGCAAUAUUGGCUGGUCAUGGUGGCUCAUGCCUGUAAUUCCAGCACUUUGGGAGGCUGAGGCAGGCAGAUCCCCUGAGGUCAGGAGUUCGAGACUGGCCUGGCCAACGUGGUGAAACCCUGUCUCCACUAAAAAUUCAAAAAUUAGCCGGACGUGGUAGUGGGUGGUGCCUGUAAUCCCAGCUACUUGGGAGGCUGAGGUAAGAGAAAUGCUUGAAUCCAAGAGACUGAGGUUGCAGUGAGCUGAGAUCUCGCCGCUGCACUCCAGCCUGAACGACAGAGCGAGACUCCGUCUCAAAAAUAAAUUAAUAAAUACAACAUUAAUUAUUUUUCUUGCUUAAGUUUUACGAAGAGACUUAAUAUCACCAUCAAAAGUGGGAAACCAUAUAUCUGGCCGGGCGUGGUGGCUCCCGCCUGUCAUCCCAGCACUACGGGAGGCCGAGGCGGGCGGAUCCCCUGAGGCCGGGAGCUGGAGACCAGCCUGGCUAACAUGGUGAAACCCUCAUCUCCAAUAAAAAUAACAAAAAUUAGCCGGGCAUGGUGGGUGCCUGUAAUCCCAGCUAUUCAGGAGGCUGAGGCAGAAGAAUCACUUGAACCCGGGAGGCGGAGGUUGCAGGGAGCCGAGAUCACACCACUGCCCUCCGGCCUGGGCGACAGAGCGAGACUCUGUCUAAAAACAAAACAAAACAAAACCCAACCAAGCAAACCCCACAGAGUCGAGAAUCGCUAGAUGGAAGGGGAUGGCCCAGGUCCCUGGAGCCCCUGUGACAAAUUACCACAAACUCGGUGCCUUAAAGCAACGUUCAUUUUCUUACAUUUCUGGAAAUGAAAAGUCCAAAAUCAGGACUGCGGGGCUGAAGUCAAGGUGUGUGGAGGCCUCGCUCCCUCCAGAGGCCCUGGGGCUCCUUCCUGCCUCUCCCAGCUUUUGAAGGCUCCAGGUGUGCUUGGCCUGCGGCCACAUCACUCCCGUCUCGGUCUCUGUGGUCGCACUGCAGCCUCCUCGUCUGCCUGUGUGAAAUCUCCUCCUGUCUCCGUAUUGUGACCGCGUUUAGGAUGCCCCAGGACAAUCUUCUCCAUAUCGUUCAGAUCUUCAUGGUGUCAAUAUAUUGAGACUCUUUUUCCAAAUAAGGCAAAUGUCACAUUCUAGGGAUCAGGGUGGGGACUUACCUUUGGGCCAACCACAGAGGCUACAAAGAGGAAGACACCACUCAAUACAAAGCGUGCGCCAGCCCAGCCCUGAUCGGUGUUUGUUGUUGUUGUUUUUGUUUGAGACAGAGUCUCGCUCUGUCGCCCAGGCUGGAGGGCAGUGGCAUGAUCUCAGCUCAUUGCAACCUCCGCCUCCUGGGUUGUAUAGAUUCUCCUGCCUCAGCCUCCUGAGUAGCUGGGAUUACAGGCGUGAAAAGGAGCAAGGCUCUGCCCCAGCCACAGCGCGGAUGCACCUUGAGGAUGUCAUGCUCAGUGAAAGACGCCAGACACAGAAGGACACACAGUGUGUGAUCCCCUUUAUAUGAAAUGUCCACAACAGGCCCAUCCACAGAGGCAGGAAGGGGAUGUGUGGGUGCCGGGGGCUGGCAGAGGGGAUGAGUGACAGCUGAUGGGGCUUCUUCUUGCGGUGAUGGAAUCUUCUGGAACUAGACAGUCGUGGUGGUUGCACAACUCUACGAGGUACUAAAAUCACUGAACUGGCUGGGUGCAGUGGCUCAUGCCUGUAAUCCCAGCACUUUGGGAGGCAGAAGCAGGUAGAUCACGAGGUCAGGAGUUUGAGACCAGCCUGGCCAACAUGGUAAAACUCUGUCUCUACUAAAAAUACAAAAAUUAGCUGGGUGUGGUGGCAGGUGCCUGUAAUCCCAGCUACUCAGGAGGCUGAGGCAGGAGAAUCGCUUGAACCAGGGAGGCAGAGUUUGCAGUGAGCCGAGAUCGCACCACUGCACUCCAGUCUGGGUGACAGAGCCAGACUCCGUCUCAAAGAAAUAAUAAUAAAAUAAAAUCACUGAACUGUA